UACGUAGGGGGCUAGCGUUGUUCGGAUUUACUGGGCGUAAAGGGCGCGUAGGCGGAUUUUUAAGUCAGGGGUGAAAUCCCAAGGCUCAACCUUGGAACUGCCUUUGAUACUGGGAAUCUUGAGUCCGGGAGAGGUGAGUGGAACUGCGAGUGUAGAGGUGAAAUUCGUAGAUAUUCGCAAGAACACCAGUGGCGAAGGCGGCUCACUGGCCCGGAACUGACGCUGAGGCGCGAAAGCGUGGGGAGCAAACAGG
rnacentral:rRNA from 1 species